AGUGAACGCUGGCGGUAGGCCUAACACAUGCAAGUCGAACGGCAGCACAGAGGAGCUUGCUCCUUGGGUGGCGAGUGGCGGACGGGUGAGGAAUACAUCGGAAUCUACUCUGUCGUGGGGGAUAACGUAGGGAAACUUACGCUAAUACCGCAUACGACCUACGGGUGAAAGCAGGGGAUCUUCGGACCUUGCGCGAUUGAAUGAGCCGAUGUCGGAUUAGCUAGUUGGCGGGGUAAAGGCUCACCAAGGCGACGAUCCGUAGCUGGUCUGAGAGGAUGAUCAGCCACACUGGAACUUAGACACGGUCCAGACUCCUACGGGAGGCAGCAGUGGGGAAUAUUGGACAAUGGGCGCAAGCCUGAUCCAGCCAUACCGCGUGGGUGAAGAAGGCCUUCGGGUUGUAAAGCCCUUUUGUUGGGAAAGAAAUCCAUCUGGUUAAUACCCGGGUGGGAUGACGGUACCCAAAGAAUAAGCACCGGCUAACUUCGUGCCAGCCGCCGCGGUAA
rnacentral:rRNA from 1 species